GGGUUAUUGGUGUAAUGGCAACAUCUCGAGCUCCAACCUCGCAGAUACUGGUUCGAUUCCAGUAUAACCCU
rnacentral:tRNA from 1 species